rnacentral:rRNA from 1 species
CCUACGGGAGGCAGCAGUGGGGAAUAUUGCACAAUGGGGGAAACCCUGAUGCAGCAACGCCGCGUGAGUGAAGAAGUAUUUCGGUAUGUAAAGCUCUAUUAGUAGGGAAGAAGAUGACGGUACCUGAGUAAGUAGCCCCGGCUAAUUACGGGCCAGCAGCCGCGGCAAGACGUAGGGGGCAAGCGUUAUCCGGAUUUACUGGGUGUAAAGGGGGCGUAGUCGGUGGGACAAGUCUGAAGUGAAAGCCCGGGGCUCAACCCCGGGACUGCUUUGGAAACUGCGUGACUGGAGUGCUGGAGAGGCAAGCGGAAUUCCUGGUGUAGCGGUGAAAUGCGUAGAUAUUAGGAAGAACACCAGUGGCGAAGGCGGCUUGCUGGACAGUAACUGACGUUGAGGCUCGAAAGCGUGGGGAGCGAACAGGAUUAGAUACCCGUGUAGUC